AAGUCGUAACAAGGUUUCCGUAGGUGAACCUGCGGAAGGAUCAUUAUCGAACACACAAAAGGACUGUCGCUGGCUUCGGCAUGUGCACGUCUUUUUAUCACACCCACACCCGUGCACCUUCUGUAGGCCCUCGCAAGAGGAUCUAUGUUUUCCAUCCACACCGAUUGCAUGUCCAUAGAAUGUCAUAAUGAAAUACAACUUUCAGCAACGGAUCUCUUGGCUCUC
rnacentral:misc_RNA from 1 species